CGAGAGGGAGUGGUGAAGAAGAAAGGGCACUAGGAGCAUCACGGAAGAUGAAAGCGGUCGAGUUAAAAUGGACCAGAAAAGCAGAGCGAUGUGCUGGCACAUCUGAAGAUGUAGACCGGAGAAAAGAGAGAAGAAAGCAGCAAACACUGCAGGGAUGAACAUGAGGGAAGGACUGUGGAGCUCCAUCAAGGACGAGAACUCUUACAGGAGGCAGGAACCCAACCAAACAGACACAAGAUCGGGGGCAGAUCACAUAAAAGAAGAACCUAAAUCGCCUACAAUGUGAGGGGAGAGCUCUGUGGUGCUGACGUUCAGCAGCUUGACAAACAGCAGCCGCCACCAGCCAUCUGUAAAACCUUGCUUCGGGCCGGGAGGAUUGAUUCUGGGAUUGAUUUGUCAGCUUGUGCUCGGACUACGGCGCGUGUCUGCUUUUCUGCCUCGUCUCAGACGAACUGAUCUGCGGAAGGUUUGGUGAGGACCGAACACAUCAAAGCGGCACACACCCAAGCGAAGGCACUGCCUCAUCAGACCCCCAGAAGA